GACGAACGCUGGCGGCGUGCUUAACACAUGCAAGUCGAACGGAAAGGCCCUGCUUUUGUGUGGUGCUCGAGUGGCGAAGGGGUGAGUAACACAUGAGUAACCUGCCCUUGACUUGGUGAUAACUUCAGGAGACUGGGGCUAUUACCGCCUAGGAGCUCCUGCUUCUUGGUGGGGGUUGGAAAGAUUCGGCGGUUGGAGAUGUACUGGCGGCUUAUCAGCUUGUUGGUUGGGUAGUUGCUUACCAAGGCUUUGACGGGUAGCCCGCCUGGAAGGGUAGACAGGCACCUGACGCCUGAGAUACGGCGCAGACUGGUAUGGGAGGCAACGGUGGAGAGUAUUACACAGUGGGGGGGCGCGUGAUGCGAAAGCGCAGCGUGCGGAAAGAAGGGCUUGUGGUUGUGAACCGCUUUAGCUUGAGACGAAGCGUGAGUGACGGUACCGGGUAAAUAAGCACCGGCUAACUACGUG
rnacentral:rRNA from 1 species